UUUAAUAUGGCAGAUUAGUGCAAUAAAUUUAAGAUUUAUGAAUAUAAAAUUUUAUUUUAUUAUUAAAA
rnacentral:tRNA from 1 species